rnacentral:tRNA from 1 species
GCCCUCGUAGCCCAAUCGGCAGAGGCAGGCGACUUAAAAUCGCUUCAGUCAGGGUUCGAGUCCCUGCGGGGGCA